ensembl:snoRNA
UGGUGGCUGUUCCUCUCACUACUUUACAUCUUGGAUAGUGGGAUUUUAGUCCAUCAUAUAGCAAGCUGAUCUGUUUUCACUCAGAGCACCAUGCGGAUGGAUUGUCUGUCCAAUAGUGACUCCUGAUUUUUGCAGAUCGAACAAUU